GCCGGGCGUGGUGGCUCAUGCCUGUAAUCCUAGCACUUUGGGAGGCUGAGGUGGGAGGUUCACUUGAGGUCAGGAGUUUGAGACCAGCCUGGCUAACAUGGUGAAACCCCAUCUCUA
ensembl:misc_RNA Metazoa_SRP Metazoan signal recognition particle RNA